AACGAACGCUGGCGGCAUGCCUAACACAUGCAAGUCGAACGAGACCUUCGGGCUUAGGUGCGCACGGGUGCGUAACGCGUGGGAACCUGCCCUUAGGUUCGGAAUAAUUCCCCGAAAGGGGUGCUAAUACCGGAGAAUGUCUUCGGACCAAAGAUUUAUCGCCGUUGGAUGGGCCCGCGUUGGAUUAGCUAGUUGGUAGGGUAAUAGCCUACCAAGGCGACGAUCCAUAGCUGGUCUGAGAGGAUGAUCAGCCACACUGGGACUGAGACACGGCCCAGACUCCUACGGGAGGCAGCAGUGGGGAAUAUUGUACAAUGGGCGAAAGCCUGAUCCAGCCAUGCCGCGUGAGUGAUGAAGGCCUUAGGGUUGUAAAGCUCUUUUACCCGGGAUGAUAAUGACAGUACCGGGAGAAUAAGCUCCGGCUAACUCCGUG
rnacentral:rRNA from 1 species